rnacentral:tRNA from 1 species
GAGGGUAUAGCUCAAGUAGUAAGAGUGUAUGCUUAGCAUGCAUAAGGUCUUGGGUUCAAUCCCCAGUACCUCCU